rnacentral:rRNA from 1 species
GGCUCAGGAUGAACGCUAGCUACAGGCUUAACACAUGCAAGUCGAGGGGCAGCAUUGGGAUAGCUUGCUAUCCAGAUGGCGACCGGCGCACGGGUGAGUAACGCGUAUCCAACCUUCCCUAUAGUAGAGAAUAGCCCGGCGAAAGUCGGAUUAAUGCUCUAUGUUGUGUUUUGAGGACAUCUGACGAACACCAAAGGUUCACCGCUAUAGGAUGGGGAUGCGUCUGAUUAGCUUGUUGGCGGGGUAACGGCCCACCAAGGCGACGAUCAGUAGGGGUUCUGAGAGGAAGGUCCCCCACAUUGGUACUGAGACACGGACCAAACUCCUACGGGAGGCAGCAGUGAGGAAUAUUGGUCAAUGGGCGAGAGCCUGAACCAGCCAAGUAGCGUGCAGGAUGACUGCCCUAUGGGUUGUAAACUGCUUUUAUCAGGGAAUAAAGUGCGGCACGUGUGCCGUUUUGUAUGUACCUGAUGAAUAAGGACCGGCUAAUUCCGUGCCAGCCGCUGC